CAACUUUCAACUACGGAUCUCUUGGCUCUCGCAUCGAUGAAGACCGCAGCGAAAUGCGAUAAGUAAUGUGAAUUGCAGAAUUCAGUGAAUCAUAGAAUUUUUGAACGCACCUUGCACUCCUUGGUAUUCCGAGGAGUAUGCCUGUUUGAGUGUCAUGU
rnacentral:rRNA from 1 species